rnacentral:rRNA from 1 species
UACGUAGGGUGCAAGCGUUGUCCGGAAUUAUUGGGCGUAAAGAGCUCGUAGGCGGUCUGUCGCGUCUGCUGUGAAAACUCAGGGCUUAACCCUGAGCUUGCAGUGGGUACGGGCAGACUAGAGUGCGGUAGGGGAGACUGGAAUUCCUGGUGUAGCGGUGAAAUGCGCAGAUAUCAGGAGGAACACCGGUGGCGAAGGCGGGUCUCUGGGCCGUAAACUGAC